AUUGAACGCUGGCGGCAUGCUUUACACAUGCAAGUCGAACGGUAACAGGUUAAGCUGACGAGUGGCGAACGGGUGAGUAAUGCAUCGGAACGUGCCCGGUCGUGGGGGAUAACGCAGCGAAAGCUGCGCUAAUACCGCAUACGAUCUGAGGAUGAGAGCGGGGGACCGUAAGGCCUCGCGCGAUCGGAGCGGCCGAUGUCAGAUUAGGUAGUUGGUGGGGUAAAGGCUCACCAAGCCAACGAUCUGUAGCUGGUCUGAGAGGACGACCAGCCACACUGGGACUGAGACACGGCCCAGACUCCUACGGGAGGCAGCAGUGGGGAAUUUUGGACAAUGGGCGAAAGCCUGAUCCAGCAAUGCCGCGUGCAGGAAGAAGGCCUUCGGGUUGUAAACUGCUUUCGUACGGAGCGGAAAGGUCUCCUCUAAUACAGGGGGCUCAUGACGGUACCGUAAGAAUAAGCACCGGCUAACUACGUGCCAGCCGCCGCCGUAA
rnacentral:rRNA from 1 species